rnacentral:rRNA from 1 species
GACAGAGGGUGCAAACGUUGCUCGGAAUCACUGGGCAUAAAGCGCACGUAGGCGGUCCACUAAGUCAAAUGUGAAAUCCCCCGGCUCAACCGGGGAACUGCAUCUGAUACUGGUGGGCUCGAGGGUGGCAGGGGUGGGCGGAACUCCAGGUGGAGCGGUGAAAUGCGUAGAUAUCUGGAGGAACACCGGAGGCGAAAGCGGCCCACUGGUCCACAUCUGACGCUGAGGUGCGAAAGCUAGGGUAGCAAACGGG